rnacentral:sRNA from 28 species
AUGCUCCUUUGCAGUGUUUAGUGUUGGCAGAUUCCUGGACCCCGCCCUAGCGGUCCGGACUUGAACCCCGAACUUCCCCCUCCCCAUACGAAGCUCGGGGUUUUUUUUGCCUGGAA